AGAUGGCAACAGUCAACCACUUAUCACAAGGCAACCCCCUGAGCCAGCGUCGUCAUUCCUGUCUGAGGGAAGUUGGCAUGGAUUGCUAACGUUGAGCUUUCGAGCAGAAUCGCCAGCCAGCACUCCAAGUUAACUACAGGGCUAAAAUAAACACAGGACAGAGCCCAGAGCUUCAGAUCCCCCCUGGACCCACUGGACAGAGGACAGGUACUUACAGGUUACACAGCAGUUCAAGUUCAAUGUCAAGUCACACACGUCUUUGGACUGUGGGCGGAAACUGGAGCUCUCUGGGGAAAUCCACAGAGACACAAGGAGAACAUGCAAACCCCACACAGAAAGAGGCCGGACCGCUCCACCUUGGAAUUGAACCCAGGACCCAGCGACAGUGUAAUCUACAAAGCCACUGUUUCACCCCAAAGGUUGUUUCCUGCUGGGAUUGGUGUAUAAAAUGAACCCUAGCACCACCCUGAAAAGACACUGAGUAACAAACCUGCUGAAAAAUCCAGACGCAGUUUUAAUUCUUGAAGAGCUACAAAUAAAAAUGAGAGAAUAUAAGACAGCU